AAGCGGGGAUGACGUCAAAUCAUCAUGCCCUUUAUGUCCUGGGCUACACACGUGCUACAAUGGCCUGUACAAAGGGCAGCAAAGGGCAACCCGGAGCAAAUCCAAAACAGGUCUCAGUUCGGAUUGCAGGCUGCAACUCGCCUGCAUGAAGUCGGAAUCGCUAGUAAUCGCAGGUCAGCAUACUGCGGUGAAUACGUUCCCGGGCCUU
rnacentral:rRNA from 1 species